rnacentral:lncRNA from 1 species
CGCAGUCAGCCGCCUGGGCGCCGAAAGCUGCUUCCUACUCCCAGUGCCGAGCGGGCCCCAGCUACUGAGCAUGCCCAGCGCAACGACGGGAGCCAGAGGAUAGCAGAGGACUUGAAGCUGCGGUUAGGCACUGAUUUCCCUUCCUAGGGGCCUAGCGUGAAAUGGAAAGGAACUAGUCAAGAGAAAGGAGGUGGUAAACUACCCAAAAACAGCACAGAAGAGGAAAUACAUGCUCCCAGACAGGGUGGACAAGGAGCCCUAAGGGUCAUUGGUCUCUCUUGGAAGCUAACACAUGAAAGAAACCACUACUGUCCUGCAAGGAUUUUUCCACUGAUUAUGAACCAGACACCUCACCAAGUACAGCUCUAGGGCUGAUCUCACUGCACCUAUAUUCCUUUGUUUUUACCUUCCUGGGACGCACAGAUAGCUUGGUGUUUGG